GUCAAAGAAUUUACAAAUAAUCAUAAGUAAUCUGUGCAAAGAAUAAAAACAGCACUCCGGAUUUACUAAAUUUGUUUUAAAUUACUUUCAAAAUGUAUUUCCAAUUGUGUUUCCUGUUAUUCACAAUUCUUGGUAUAAGCAAUGUGGAAGCAUCUACAGGUUACGACUUUGGUGACUUUUUGGCUACUGUUUUAGGUAUCGGUAUAGCCGUUGUAGGAAUUUUAGCCUGUUUGGGUAAUUACGCACGGCAAAGGGCGAGAAACGAGUUUAUAUAGGUUCAUCAAAACUUGCCAUCUUGUUUCAGCACACACAAGUCUAGAAUAAAUGAAUAUGGA